GCCCGGGUGGCGGAAUGGCAUACGCGGGGGACUUAAAAUCCCUUGCCCUCCGGGGCGUGCGGGUUCGACUCCCGCCCCGGGCACCA
rnacentral:tRNA from 1 species